rnacentral:rRNA from 1 species
UAGUGGCGAACGGGUGAGUAACACGUGGGCAAUCUGCCCUUCACUCUGGGACAAGCCCUGGAAACGGGGUCUAAUACCGGAUAACACCUGCCCGGGCAUCUGGGUGGGUUAAAAGCUCCGGCGGUGAAGGAUGAGCCCGCGGCCUAUCAGCUUGUUGGUGAGGUAGUGGCUCACCAAGGCGACGACGGGUAGCCGGCCUGAGAGGGCGACCGGCCACACUGGGACUGAGACACGGCCCAGACUCCUACGGGAGGCAGCAGUGGGGAAUAUUGCACAAUGGGCGAAAGCCUGAUGCAGCGACGCCGCGUGAGGGAUGACGGCCUUCGGGUUGUAAACCUCUUUCAGCAGGGAAGAAGCGAAAGUGACGGUACCUGCAGAAGAAGCGCCGGCUAACUACGUGCCAGCAGCCGCGGUAAUACGUAGGGCGCAAGCGUUGUCCGGAAUUAUUGGGCGUAAAGAGCUCGUAGGCGGCUUGUCACGUCGGGUGUGAAAGCCCGGGGCUUAACCCCGGGUCUGCAUUCGAUACGGGCUAGCUAGAGUGUGGUAGGGGAGAUCGGAAAUUCCU